AAAGGCCAUUGAAGAGGGACACCUGCCAGGGCUGGGAGCCGUGAGCGCACGGGGCGCCGGAGGCCACGAAGUUGGAGCUUGUGUCGUUUGCGGGGAGCAGCAGAGCCUCCGAGACUGGAGAAAGAAGCAGGAGACCUAAGAGGCUGAAUUCUGGAGGAGUGAGGACUGAACCGAGUACUGGAAGAGGGCGUAGGCGUUCAGUCUCUGGAGGGAACUAUAUUCCACAGGCUUCAACUAAGAGGUCGCCGGCAGCGACUAAAGAUCCCACACGUCGAAGCUAAAAAGAUGCCCCAACUAAAAGUUGCAGCUGUGUGCUUCGACUAAGACCCGGCGCAGCCAAAUAAAUAAAUACAUAUUUAAAAAAAAGAAAAGACAAGACUUGGGAUUAAAAUAGAGCGGAGUAAGAAGGGGCGGGGAAGGGAAA